rnacentral:rRNA from 1 species
AACGAACGCUGGCGGCAUGCCUAACACAUGCAAGUCGAACGAGACCUUCGGGUCUAGUGGCGCACGGAUGCGUAACGCGUGGGAACCUGCCCUUAGGUUCGGAAUAACUCCCCGAAAGGGGUGCUAAUACCGGAUAAUGUCUUCGGACCAAAGAUUUAUCGCCUUUGGAUGGGCCCGCGUUGGAUUAGCUAGUUGGUAGGGUAAAAGCCUACCAAGGCGACGAUCCAUAGCUGGUCUGAGAGGAUGAUCAGCCACACUGGGACUGAGACACGGCCCAGACUGGAGGGGGGGGCAGGGGAGGGAAAGAGGGACCAUGGGGUGAAAGGGAGCUCAGUCAGGGCGGGGGUAGGGGGGAGGGCCUUGGUGGUGUAAUGCUGUUGUGCCCGGGAUGAUAAUAGCAGGCCGGGGAGAAGAAGCUCCAGCUAACGCCGUGCCAGCAGCCGCGUGAAUAAGGGGAAGCGCACACGUCUGAAC